rnacentral:rRNA from 1 species
UACGAAGGGGGCUAGCGUUGCUCGGAAUCACAGGGCGUAAAGGGUGCGUAGGCGGGUCUUUAAGUCAGGGGUGAAAUCCUGGAGCUCAACUCCAGAACUGCCUUUGAUACUGAAGAUCUUGAGUUCGGGAGAGGUGAGUGGAACUGCGAGUGUAGAGGUGAAAUUCGUAGAUAUUCGCAAGAACACCAGUGGCGAAGGCGGCUCACUGGCCCGAUACUGACGCUGAGGCACGAAAGCGUGGGGAGCAAACAGG